rnacentral:rRNA from 1 species
CGAAGCUGGAUUCGCUAGUAAUCGCGCAUCAGCCACGGCGCGGUGAAUACGUUCCCGGGCCUUGUACACACCGCCCGUCAAGCCAUGGGAGCCGGGGGUACCUGAAGUGCGUAACCGCGAGGAGCGCCCUAGGGUAAAACUGGUGACUGGGCUAAGUCGUAACAAGGUACC